GACGCCGCGUUGCGCCUCGACGUUGCUCCAUCAUGUGACAAUGGCGAAUUUCGCGGUUUCCUUCGCCAUCUGACAACUUUUGGCGCCUUCCCUUUGCCGUACUGGGAGUCCUCCAUCACGUGACGAGGGCACGCUCUGGUUUUCGCUAAGGCGUUUUUUGAGCGGCCAUUACCACGUGAUGCAAGGCAAGCGUCAGAGGCGGAGCCUCCCUACGGCUGCGACAUUUUGCGCCUGCGCGGCCGCCAUCUUACGCCCGUCGCCCUGAGUACGUUAGCGGAAAUGGCUCCGAGAGGCUUUGACGCAUGUGUACCUUUUUAGUGGCGGUAUCUCGGCCGGGGAUUUUCGGGCUCCAGUGGAGGUGGCUAUGCUCACCCCAUCUCCCUUGAGAGGCACAGAAGGUUAGAGAUGUGUGCGAGGAACGGCCAGGUCCAGCGUCUCCUCGUUGCUGCCCCUUGAGCCCGGGACCGGCGCCAAUGCGCGCCCGGGUUCUUGGGUUCUUUCGUCCCGCAGACCUGCCUUGGUGUGGCGUCCCUGGGCCGUAGCUUCCGAAGGCUGCAGCCGACCUGGUCGGGGUCCUCUAGCCCGCCUUCCCCUUCCCCCAUUGACAGAUGGAGAAACUGAGGCCCAGGCCAAAAAAUAUCUCACUAGAGGGCUCACCGCCAUUUCCUGGAAAAAUUGGGGCUGGGACUCAACGGACGCUCGUCCAGCAGCAGCGCGGAGCUCCGAAGUAAAGGCGCCCGUGACCGAGUGCUUUGUCCUUACAAGCGUGGUGUUCUUGAAUGCUUCCAGGCGCCUUAUGAGGCCCCCGAUGUACAAUCUGUGCUUAACUAAACCCCACUGUCUUCCAGGGUCAGGUUGGCCAUCCGCAGGCGUAGUUGCUAGGAAGGUUUGACAGAUGUCCGCCUGUUGAUUCAGACGUUCCCAGGAUUUGGAGCAAGAAGAGCAAGGAAGGCCAGGCGCGGUGGCUCACGUUUGUAAUCCCAGCACUUUGGGAGGCCGAGGCGGGCGGAUCACGAGGUCAGGAGUUCGAGACCAGCCUGGCCAGCAUGGUGAAACCCCGUCUCUACUAAAAAUACAAAAGAAAAUUAGCCGGGUGUGGUGGCACAUGCCUGUAGUCCCACCUACUUGGGAGGCUGAGGCAGGAGAAUUGUUUGACCUGGCAGGCGGAGGUUGCAGUGAGCCGAGAUUGCGCCACUGCACUCCAGUCUGGGCGACAGAGCGAGACUCUGUCUCAGAAAAAAAAAAGAGCAAGGAGGUGUUGAAAAUGGGUUUCCUGGCUGGGCGUGGUGGCUCACGCUUGUAAUCCCAGCACUUUGGGAAGCUGAGGUGGGCGGAUCACUUGAGGUCAGGAGUUUGAGACCAGCCUGGCCAACAUGGUGAAACACCGUCUCCACUAAAAAUAGAAAAAUUAACUGGGUGUGGUGGAGGGCGCCUGUAAUCCCAGCUAAUCAGGAAGCUGAGACAGGAGGAUCGCUUGAACCCAGGAGGCGGAGGUUGCAGUGAGCCGAGAUUGCUCCAUUGCACUCCAGCCUGGGCGAUAGAGUGAGACUCAGCCUCAAAAAAAAAAAAAAAAAAAAAUUCGCCAGGUGUGGUGGUGUGCGCCUAUAAUCCCAGCUACUCAGGAGGCAGAGGCACAAGAAUGGCUUGAAUCACUUGAACCUGGGAGGCAGAGGUUACAAUGAGCCGAGAUGGCACCACUGCACUCCAGCCUGGGCGACAGAGCGAGACUCCGACUUCCCAUCUUAAAAAAAAAAAAAAAAAAAAAAAAGAAGUGUAAAGAUGUGAUUAUGUGGCAGGGGGUAAGGGUUAAAAAGAAAACAAGAACAAGUUUUCCUCUGCUUAGCCAGCUUACUUCAAGGACAGUUAUAACACUGAAAAGUCGAGGCCAAAGGAAUGGGCUCCAGACAGCCUCCUCCGGAGCAAAGUUGAAAAGAAAAAUUCCUUUACUGUCUCUCCUUUUCUGAACCAUUAAAUAUGACUGUUUGCCAAUGGUUGUAUUUAGUAAGAUUUGUAGACUCUGUUUUUCUUUUGACACAGCUGCAAGGCCAACAGCUGUGCAAAGCCACAAGUUAUGCUAAGUCAGCAGUUAUGCUAUAGAUUACAUGACCUGUGACUGUAUCAUUAACUGCUUUUGUUUUGCUUCUGUAAGUUUGCCUAUAAAAACCACACUCAGUCUUUGUUCAAUGGUCAGCUUUUCAGAUACAAAUCCACUGAGCCGGUGUACAUCUAAAUAAAUCCUCCUGUUUCCCGUGUCAGUCUCUCUGGUCCUUUGUUUCCUGCAACAAUUACAGAAA
rnacentral:lncRNA from 1 species